rnacentral:rRNA from 1 species
AGAGUUUGAUCCUGGCUCAGAACGAACGCUGGCGGCAGGCUUAACACAUGCAAGUUGAACGGGAUUUGUGUGGUGCUUGCACCAUAUAAUGAGAGUAGCGCACUGGUGAGUAACACGUGGGAACGUACCUUUUGGUGGGGGACAACAUCUGGAAACGGAUGCUAAUACCGCAUAAGACCUGAGGGUGAAAGAUUUAUCGCCGAAAGAACGGCCCGCGGAAGAUUAGGCAGUUGGUGGGGUAAAGGCCUACCAAACCUACGAUCUAUAGCUGGUCUGAGAGGACGAUCAGCCACACUGGAACUGAGACACGGUCCAGACUCCUACGGGAGGCAGCAGUGAGGAAUAUUGGGCAAUGGAGGCAACUCUGACCCAGCCAUGCCGCGUGAGUGAAGAAGGUUUUCGGAUUGUAAAGCUCUUUCGGAUGUGACGAUGAUGACGGUAGCAUCUAAAGAAGCCCCGGCUAACUUCGUGCCAGCAGCCGCGGUAAUACGAAGGGGGCGAGCGUUGUUCGGAAUUACUGGGCGUAAAGGGUGUGUAGGCGGUUAUGUAAGAUAGCGGUGAAAUCCCGGGGCUUAACCUCGGAAUAGCCGUUAUAACUAUGUAGCUAGAGUUAUGGAGAGGAUAGCGGAAUACCCAGUGUAGAGGUGAAAUUCGUAGAUAUUGGGUAGAACACCGGUGGCGAAGGCGGCUAUCUGGCCAUAUACUGACGCUGAGGCACGAAAGCAUGGGGAUCAAACAGGAUUAGAUACCCUGGUAGUCCAUGCUGUAAACGAUGAAUGCUGGUUGUCGGCUUUAGGGUCGGUGACGAAGUUAACGCGAUAAGCAUUCCGCCUGGGGAGUACGGUCGCAAGAUUAAAACUCAAAGGAAUUGACGGGGACCCGCACAAGCGGUGGAGCAUGUGGUUUAAUUCGAUGCAACGCGAAGAACCUUACCAACUCUUGACAUCCUUAUCGGGGGGCACAGAGAUGAGCCCUUUCAGUUAGGCUGGAUAAGUGACAGAUGCUGCAUGGCUGUCGUCAGCUCGUGUCGUGAGAUGUUGGGUUAAGUCCC